GCUAAUACCGCAUACGUCCUACGGGAGAAAGGGGGCUUAGGCUCCCGCUAUUGGAUGAGCCUAUGUCGGAUUANCUGGUUGGUGAGGUAAUGGCUCACCAAGGCGACGAUCCGUACCUGGUCUGAGAGGAUGAUCAGCCACAUCGGGACUGAGACACGGCCCGAACUCCUACGGGAGGCAGCAGUGGGGAAUAUUGGACAAUGGGGGCAACCCUGAUCCAGCCAUGCCGCGUGUGUGAAGAAGGCCCUCGGGUUGUAAAGCACUUUCAGCGAGGAAGAACGCCUAUCGGUUAAUACCCGAUAGGAGAGACAUCACUCGCAGAAGAAGCACCGGCUAACUCCGUGCCAGCAGCCGCGGUAAUACGGAGGGUGCAAGCGUUAAUCGGAAUUACUGGGCGUAAAGCGCGCGUAGGUGGCUUGAUAAGCCGGUUGUGAAAGCCCCGGGCUCAACCUGGGAACGGCAUCCGGAACUAUUAAGCUAGAGUGCAGGAGAGGAAGGUGGAAUUCCCGGUGUAGCGGUGAAAUGCGUAGAGAUCGGGAG
rnacentral:rRNA from 1 species